UUCCCAGGAUGCCAUAGCUUUCCAGCGGGU
rnacentral:piRNA from 1 species